CAGGUUGGAAACACUCCUUUUGUAGAACUUAUGAAGGGACAUUUUGGACCUCACUGAGGCUAUAUGAAAAUUGGAAUAUCUUCUGUAAAAACAACAGAAAAGCUAUCUGUGAAAGUGGUUUGUGACGUGUGGAUUCAGCUCAAAGAGUUAAUUAUUUUGAUUCAUCAGGUUGGAAACAGUUUUUCUAGAAUCUGUGAAAGGAUAUUGAGCAGCCCACUGAAGCCUAUAGUGAAAAACAAAAUUUUCCACAAUAAAACCUAGAAGGAAGCUAUCUUUGAAACUGCUUUGAGAUGUGUGCAUUCAGCUCACAGAGAUAAACCUUUCUUUUGAUUCAACAGGUUGGAAACUCUCUUGUUGUAGAAUCUGCAAAUGGAUAUUUGGAAGCCCACUGAAGCCUAUAGUGAAAAAUCAAAUAUACUGUGAUAAAAAUUAGAAAGAAGCUAUCCGUUAAACUGUUUUGUGUUUUGUGGAUUCACCUCACAGAGAUAAACCUUUCUUUUGAUUCAACAGGUGGUAACACAACUUUGAAGAAUCUGCAGAGGGACAUUUCAUAGCCCACUGAGGCCUAUAGUCAGAAACCAAAUAUCCCAUGAUAAAAACUAGAAAGAAGCUAUCUGUGAAACUGCUUUGUGAUGUGUGGAUUCAGGUCACAGAGAUAAAACUGUCCUUUGAUUUAUCAAGUUUGAAACAGUUUUUUUUUUUAGAAUCUGCGAGGGAACAUUUUGAAACCCACUAAGGUUUAUGGUGAAAAACUGAAUAUUCCAUGAUAAAUACUAGAAAGAGGCUAUCUGUGAAACUGCUUGUGAUGUGUGCAUUCAGCUCACAGAGGUAAACUUUUCUUUUAAUUCAGCAGGGUGGAAACCUUUUUGUAGAAUUUUUGAAGGGACAUUUUGGAGUCUACUGAUGCCAUAGUGUAAAACCAUGUGCACCAUGAUAAACACUAGAAAGAAGCUAUAUACGUAUCAUAUGUGCCACGAUGAAUGUAUCAUAUAUAUGUGUUGUAUGUAUGUAUCAUAUGUAUGUAUGUAUCAUAUGUAUGUAUUGUAUGUACCACGAUAUAUGUAUCGAUGUAUGUAUCAUAUGUACAAUGAUGUAUGUAUCAUAUGUACCACAAUAAACACUAGAAAGCUAUUGGUGUAUGUAUCAUAUGUA
rnacentral:lncRNA from 10 species